GACGAACGCUGGCGGCGUGCCUAAUACAUGCAAGUAGAACGCUUAAGGAGGAGCUUGCUCUUCUGUCUGAGUUGCGAACGUGUGUGUAACGCGUAGGUCACCUUCCUGGUAGCGGGGAAUAACUAUUGGAAACGAUUGCUAAUACCUCAUACCAGUAGAUGUUGCAUGACAUUUUUUUGACAGCUGCAUUUCCAUCACUACCAGAUGGACCUGCGUUGUAUUAGCUAGUUGGGCGGGUAACGGCUCACCAAGGCGACGAUACAUAACCGACCUUGGAAGGUGAUCGGGCACACUGGGACUGGGACACGGGCCAGACUCCUACGGGAGGGAGCAGUAGGGAAACUUUGGCAAUGGAGGGAAGUCUGACCGAGCAAAGCCGGGUGAGUGAAGAAGGGUCUCGGAUCGUAAAGCUAUGUUGUAAGAGAAGAAAGAGUGUGAGAGUGGAAAGUUCACACUGUGACGGUAUCUUACCAGAAAGGGACGGCUAACUACGUG
rnacentral:rRNA from 1 species